CGUGAUGGUGAAAUUAAAACAUCUUAUAAAACUGCUUUCAAAACAAAACCAAAGUGCCUUAGAAUUCGGCCCCCUCCACUAAAAUAUAUUCACACUCUAUCAGAGUGGAAACAACCUGGUAUUCCACUAGAAAUAUAUCUUAAACCAAAGGAAAUUAUCCGGACCAAUCCACGUAACACUCAAAAGUACUAUGAAAAGCCUCCAGAUCCGGAUUGGGAGAAUGCAAUGAAGAUACGACCUCGCCUUGUCAUGACGCCGGCUAUUAGUAUGGAUGACAUAUCACCACCAGAGAAGCGAAAACUUUUGAUUGAUGAUGUGUAUGCCAGCUCAGCUCACAGGUCAAUGCGAGAAGGACUCCCCGUGUCCUCUGGAGUCUGCAUAUCAGCGCCCUUAUCUUGCACACCCGCUGCAGCUACUCCAAUAACGCUUCAGAAGUUAGAAGCUCCGUUCGUUUCCCCUGAAUGGCGUAUGGAUUCAGUUUCGUGGGAUGGACGACAACUGCGCUCUCAUUGCGACCCGGAUAAGGAAUUUUACGUCGCUAGAUCCCCUAAGUAGUACAAAAUUGAGAAAUAUUCUGAGAAAUUGUUUGAAUGAAUCCCUGCAUAUAGAUUUCGGACAUCUCGUCAGAACUCCCAACUUCAACCACACUACCUCGAUGUUCGGAUCCACAACAGCGCGGUUUUUAAGGCAUUUUCUCCCUCUCACAAAUACUCUAUGGAACCAGCCUUUGCCGGCGGCGGAGAUGUGCAAGAAUGACAUCACGACACUCGCAUUCGCAUGCAGA